UACGUAGGUGGCAAGCGUUGUCCGGAAUCAUUGGGCGUAAAGCGCGUGUAGGCGGCUAGAUAAGUCUGCUCUGAAAGCCCGGGGCUCAACCCCGGGAGGCGGGUGGAUACUGUCUAGCUCGAGUCCGGAAGAGGAGUGUGGAAUUCCUGGUGUAGCGGUGAAAUGCGCAGAUAUCAGGAGGAACACCAAUGGCGAAGGCAGCACUCUGGGACGUGACUGACGCUGAGACGCGAAAGCGUGGGGAGCAAACAGG
rnacentral:rRNA from 1 species